rnacentral:misc_RNA from 1 species
UCUCCGUUGGUGAACCAGCGGAGGGAUCAUUACCGAGUUUACAACUCCCAAACCCCAUGUGAACCUUACCAAACGUUGCUUCGGCGGGAUGCCCCGGGCGCGGGCCGCAAGGCCUCAGCCCCGGAACCAGGCGCCCGCCGGAGGCCCAAACCAAACUCUUGUUUUUGUAGAACCUUCUGAAUGGCCUUUUAGGCAAAAAAUGAAUCAAAACUUUCAACAACGGAUCUCUUGGUUCUG